UACGUAGGCAGCGAGCGUUGUUCGGAGUUACUGGGCGUAAAGGGUGUGUAGGCGGUUGGUUAAGUUUGGUGUGAAAUCUCCCGGCUCAACUGGGAGGGUGCGCCGAAUACUGAAUGACUUCGAGUGCGGGAGAGGAGAGUGGAAUUCCUGGUGUAGCGGUGAAAUGCGUAGAUAUCAGGAGGAACACCGGUGGUGUAGACGGCUCUCUGGACCGUAACUGACGCUGAGACACGAAAGCGUGGGUAGCAAACAGG
rnacentral:rRNA from 1 species